rnacentral:rRNA from 1 species
GGGGAUGNUCGAACGGGAAGUCCUGCCUGCCCAAUGACCUGUUUUAAUGGCCGCGGUAUUAUGACCGUGCAAAGGUAGCGUAAUCAUUUGUCUUUUAAAUAAAGACCAGUAUGAACGGCAAGACGAAAGCCUCGCUGUCUCCCUAGCCUAAUCAAUGAAAUUGAUCUCCUCGUGCAGAAGCGAGGAUGAGAGUAUAAGACGAGAAGACCCUGUGGAGCUUUAAACUAGAACUAACAAUUACAAAUGCUUUAGUUACAAGUUUUAGGUUGGGGCGACCAUGAGGUAUAACGCAACCCUCACGACAAUAACAAAGAAAGACACUUCAAAUAUUAACACAUAUGACCCAAUAAUUGACCAACGAACCAAGUUACCCCAGGGAUAACAGCGCAAUCUACUCAAAGAGUCCAUAUCGACGAGCAGGUUUACGACCUCGAUGUUGGAUCAGGACCCCCAAAUAGCGCAACAGCUAUUAAAGGUUCGUUUGUUCAACGAUUAAAGUCCUACGUGAUCUGAGUCCAGACCGGA